UUCCGGCGGGAGCUGUGCAGCUCCUUAUCAUGGGGACAAUUCAUCUCUUUCGAAAACCACAAAGAUCCUUUUUUGGCAAGUUGUUACAGGAAUUUAGACUUGUAGCAGCUGACCGAAGGUCCUGGAAGAUACUGCUCUUUGGUAUAAUAAACUUGAUAUGUACUGGCUUCCUGCUUAUGUGGUGCAGUUCUACUAAUAGUAUAGCUUUAACUGCCUAUACUUACCUGACCAUUUUUGAUCUUUUUAGUUUAAUGACAUGUUUAAUAAGUUACUGGGUAACAAUGAGGAAAUCUAGCCCUGUCUAUUCAUUUGGGUUUGAAAGAUUAGAAGUCCUGGCUGUAUUUGCCUCCACAGUGUUGGCACAGUUGGUAGCUCUCUUUAUAUUAAAAGAAAGUGCAGAAUGCUUUUUGGAACAGCCCGAGAUACACACGGGAAGAUUAUUAGUUGGUACUUUUGUGGCUCUUUCUUUCAACCUGUUCAUGAUGCUUUCUAUUCAGAAUAAACCUUUUGCUUAUGUCUCAGAAGCUGCUAGUACGAGCUGGCUUCAAGAGCAUGUUGCAGAUCUUAGUCGAAGCUUGUGUGGAAUUAUUCCAGGACUUAGCAGUAUCUUCCUUCCCCGAAUGAAUCCAUUUGUUUUGAUUGAUUUUGCUGGAGCAUUUGCUCUUUGCAUUACAUAUAUGCUCAUUGAAAUUAAUAAUUAUUUUGCCAUAGACACUGCCUCUGCUAUAGCCAUUGCCUUGAUGACAUUUGGCACUAUGUAUCCCAUGAGUGUGUACAAUGGGAAAGUCUUACUCCAGACAACACCACCCCAUGUUAUUGGUCAGUUGGACAAACUCAUCAGAGAGGUAUCUACCUUGGAUGGAGUUUUAGAAGUCCGAAAUGAACAUUUUUGGACCCUAGGUUUUGGCUCAUUUGCUGGACCAGUGCAUGUAAGAAUUCGACGAGAUGCUAAUGAACAAAUGUUUCCUGCUCAUGUGACCAACAGACUGUACACUCUAGUAUCUACUCUGACUAUUCAAAUUUUCAAGGAUGACUGGAUUAGGCCUGCCUUAUUGUCUGGGCCUGUGGCAGCCAAUGUCCUAAACUUUGCAGAUCAUCACGUAAUCCCAAUGCCUCUUUUAAACGGUGCUGAUGAUUUGAACCCAGUUACAUCAACUCCAGCUAAACCUAGUAGUCCACCUCCAGAAUUUUCAUUUAACACUCCCGGGAAAAAUGUGAACCCAGUUAUUCUUCUAAACACACAAACAAGGCCUUAUGGUUUUGGUCUCAAUCAUGGACAUACACCUUACAGCAACAUGCUUAAUCAAGGACUUGGAGUUCCAGGAAUUGGAGCAACUCAAGGAUUGAGGACUGGUUUUACAAAUAUACCAAGUAGAUAUGGAACUAAUAAUAGAAUUGGACAACCAAGACCAUGAUGGACUCUAACUUAUUUUUAUGAGGAAUAUUGACUCCUUGGCUUCCAAUUUAUUUAGUAAUCCAACUUUGCAUUGACUGUUUAAUCAUUUACUCUAAAUGUUAGAUAAUAGUAAGCUUGUUCACAUUUCAUGAAACCUAUGAAAUUAUAUUUU